AGGAGAUAAAGUCAUAUUGACUAUUCAACCUCAAUGCCUUAAAUGUGACUCCUGCUUACAUGCCAAGGGCAACUGUUGCUUGAAAAAAGAUAUGCUUUCUCCAGUUGGACUGAUGCUUGAUGGUACCAGCAGAUUUACAUGUAGAGGGAAGAAAGUACAUAAUAUUUUUGGAACAAGCACAUUCACUGAAUACACCAUGAUGCAUGAGAUUUCAGUAGUAAAAAUUGAUGAUGAUGCACCCUUGGAGAAUGUUUGUAUAUUAGCCUGUGGAUUCACCACAGAAUAUGGAGAUGCUGUUAAUGCUGCACAGGUGUGACUCCUGGUUCUACCUGUGUUGUCUUUGGGCUUGGAGGUGUUGGCUCUGCAGUUGUUAUGGCAUGCAAAGCAGCUGGUGCUUCCAGGAUCACUGGUAUUGACAUCAAUGAAGGAAAUUUGAGAAGGCAAAAGCUCUUGAGGUCACUGAUUAUCUUAAUCCUUGAAAAUUCAAGAAGCCCAUCCAGCAGGUGAUAAUGGAAAUGACUGAAUUUGGUGCUGACUUUACCUUUGAGGCUAUUGGGAUUAUUGACACCAUGCAUUCACUGUGUACUGUUGUUCUGAGGUCAAGGGGAAUGGAAAUGCAAUGUCACCCUACCUUACUAGACUCUCAUCCUUCUGGGACUUCAUAUACAUAGGACUAUGGUUGAAACUUGGUACUUCUUAGUAGGGCAAGAAAUGUAAUAAACUACUUCUGAACACUAUGCCAUUAAAUCAGGUUUGUUUUAAAUCUAUAUAAA